CAUAAGGAAGGGUUGGGCACUUGCUAGACGUCAUUUUAGACUGACGAGGACUCUUAGGUAUGAGGCAAUAAUUGUCUCUAACAAGAUUAACCAGGCACAUCCUAAUGCAGUUGAACCGCUUUCUAAUAGCGCCGGUGACUUCUUCUGAUUUGUUUGUAGCGUUCAUCUAUGUCAAACAGGGGUUUAAUGAAUCUGUGAAUUAAAAAAAGUCCGAAAAUUUGGCAUGGCACUUCAUAAUAUAUCGAGUUGUCUCUUUCUUCAGGCAGUGACUACAUUGGUUGAUGGCAAAAUGAACACAGUUAUUACACCAAACGAUACAAAGCUGAAGCCGCACACGAUUGUUAGAGAUAUAGUUGACGGUCUUCUAGUUCAGACAAUGACGACUGAUGGUGUUACAGCCAAACGUUUCUUCAAGAAAUCGUCCUAAGACAUUUAAAAGAUCUAAAACAGACUUAAUUUGUGAAUUCUUUUUUGUCAUUUCUUAUUUAUUGUGUUCAUAAUAUAGCAUCUGAAUAAUCAACCUAUUCAUUUCGCCGGUUAGCUUAACUGUAUUAAGUUAUGACACACCUUGCAUCUGAUUGCCUCUUAUAUUCUUUUAAUACUUGUGUCGCAUCUUUAUCAUAUUCCUGUUUUUGAAAUAAAAUAGAACAUUGAUCAAUUA
rnacentral:lncRNA from 1 species